AGAGUUUGAUCCUGGCUCAGGACGAACGCUGGCGGCGCGCCUAACACAUGCAAGUCGAACGAGCGAGAGAGAGCUUGCUUUCUCGAGCGAGUGGCGAACGGGUGAGUAACGCGUGAGGAACCUGCCUCAAAGAGGGGGACAACAGUUGGAAACGACUGCUAAUACCGCAUAAGCCCACGGGUCGGCAUCGACCAGAGGGAAAAGGAGCAAUCCGCUUUGAGAUGGCCUCGCGUCCGAUUAGCUAGUUGGUGAGGUAAUGGCCCACCAAGGCGACGAUCGGUAGCCGGACUGAGAGGUUGAACGGCCACAUUGGGACUGAGACACGGCCCAGACUCCUACGGGAGGCAGCAGUGGGGGAUAUUGCACAAUGGGGGAAACCCUGAUGCAGCGACGCCGCGUGGAGGAAGAAGGUUUUCGGAUUGUAAACUCCUGUCGUUAGGGACGAUAAUGACGGUACCUAACAAGAAAGCACCGGCUAACUACGUGCCAGCAGCCGCGGUAAAACGUAGGGUGCAAGCGUUGUCCGGAAUUACUGGGUGUAAAGGGAGCGCAGGCGGGAAGACAAGUUGGAAGUGAAAUCCAUGGGCUCAACCCAUGAACUGCUUUCAAAACUGUUUUUCUUGAGUAGUGCAGAGGUAGGCGGAAUUCCCGGUGUAGCGGUGGAAUGCGUAGAUAUCGGGAGGAACACCAGUGGCGAAGGCGGCCUACUGGGCACCAACUGACGCUGAGGCUCGAAAGUGUGGGUAGCAAACAGGAUUAGAUACCCUGGUAGUCCACACUGUAAACG
rnacentral:rRNA from 1 species